UGCUAUUGCAAUAACAUAAGUAAAGUUAUAGAACAUUUGUUUGGAUGACCUUAAACUCAUAAUGAGUUACAUGAUCUUUUGACAGGAGGAUCAACCGCCUCAUCUGUGUUAUGACAUCUCGGUUCCCGGGAGAAGCCCUGAGACCGAACUCUUCCUCAGCCGAAGCUCUCUCAGGUUUUUUGGAGUACCUGGCGGCUUGGGAGAAGCAUGCAGGUGGAGCUGGAGGGUUCUUGAGCGAGUCAACAGCGACUGGGCUCCGUGUCAGCAUCUCAAGCACACUUGAGCUUCUUUCGUACCUCGCAAGUUUAGGGUUUAGGUACCUUAUGACAUCUCGACUUAGUCAGGACCCUAUUGAGAAUUUGUUCGGAAUCGUCAGACAAGCCUCAGGCUGCAACGACCACCCGACACCCACACAGUUUCUUAUUACAAUGAAUUGCAUGUCCUUUUACAGUUUAGUGAAGACCAUAAGAUACGGGAAUGCGGAUCCAUGUGCAGUAAGUGCCUUGCUUGAUGCGCAAGUGAGCAGCACCAGCUGCCUUCCCAGCAAUUAACAACUUGUGGGAUCAGGUUGAUGCUCUCAUUGGUUCGGGCAAUUUACCUGGUGCCGAAGUGAUGUUGUCUAGAGCAGAUCGUGACCAACACAUAGAGAGAAGUCACUCUUGCAUAAUUUACUAUAUGUCAGGGUAUGUUGCACGAAGGUGCGUAAUGAAAACAGACUGCCAGGCUUGCAUGGAUGGUCUGACGAUUUCAUCUGGACUCCUGAAUUGCUGCAAUCACAAUGCACAAGGACAGAGACGGGCUUCUCUACCCACGUGGUGUACUUUUUUCUUUUAUCAAAAUGCUGGAAGACAUGUUCACCGUAUGCUUCAGCAAGAGGCAACUGCAUGCCGAUAGCAUCUUGGAUGUGCUGAGCCUGGUGAAGACAAAAUGCACAGGCACAACUGGCUGCAGCGAACAUGCAGCUGAGCUCACUAAGAAUGUGAUCAGCUUUUACAUUACAACCCGGCUGCAUUUUUUUACGAAGGGUAUUAAUUGUGAAAAAUAUGAGAAUAGGAAGAGAUUGAUGCACCGAAAGAUCGCUAAGACUUCGUGAGGAGAGCGCCUGGUACUUGUUCAUAUACAAUUUGUGAACCUACGUUUUCUGGUGCCUACAUUCUUUAUUUCGUUGUUAAUAAAUAUUGUUAUUGCACAAAUGUACCUGGUAUUGUCAUCCUUUCGAUUUCAUGUCGUGUUAACUAUAAGAACGAUGUAAUCCAUAAACAACCAACUAACCAACUUAACUUGUGCAGCAGUGAUACCUAAAUAUUAAAUUUCUUGAAUAGACAGGGCAACAUGAAAACGCUUGCUUUACUACAACACACUUCCACGCAGCACGCGCCUUACCUGCGAAAGAAAGAAAAAAACGAAGUGGUGGGUAAAUUCGGCGCGGUGGUGCUGGAAAUGCGGAUGCGCGGUCGUUGUGGCAAAACCAGACUAGCAAUUUUAUUGAUCAGCAGGAGAAAACGAGUGUCCCUUGCUACGGUGACUGCAGCGACCGUAUCAAGCUAUUAACAGAACAGUGUUAAUAGCAAGGUUAGUUCAUUCGUGCUUCCGGCAACAAAACAUCGCCAACCAUCUGUAGAUCAACCGCAACAAUAGUAAUUUAGUUCAGUGCACACUGCAAAGGUGCAGCAAAAGAAGUUUUGUGCAUUUUACUUUUAUUACGGUCAAAACAGCAACGUGCAAUAGCCGCUUUACUGCAACGCGUAGGAAAGUUUCAGGUGACGCUGCGAACCGCGCCACCUGUCAGUGGCGACAUGAAGGGCGUCAAGCUCUGCCACGUUGUGAGCGCACUAUAACUCUUCUACUACACUGUACACAUAGAGUCUAUGUUGGUAAACACAUUCAGAACGUCUAACCCAAGAACUUUUUUAGAUCUUUUUGUCUAAAAGUGCAUAAAAUGCCAGAUGACAUGUUAAAAGUGCGGUUACCGUCCACCGUCGGCGUUAGUGAAUAAAAGAUGCCACAGACAAAUCGAACUCGUUGGAAGCAACAUAAUAAGUUGGCUUUAAUGUUAAAUAAUUUCGCACCAGAACUUCAACAAUCAAGGGCGUGUUAUUGUUUUCCAUACAGGGCAUGCACACGAUGCCUGGAAAUCGUUCUAUGCUCGCACAGGUACUGACAGCCGCAGGAGCGAAACGCCGGUGUUGCAGCGACCACACGGAGUCACAGAGCCACUGCCCUGCGACCACUUCGGCGGCAGUCAAGUAUAGGCAAGCUCCAAAUUUGUCAGACAUCUCAUUCCAUGCUGGAAACACUGGGAGGCAGGAAGUUUGAAAAAAAGCAGUCACUGCCGCCCGCAAUGUCUCGGUCGUGGGUUCGUUAUGCCAGUUGUACGUCAUUCUAAGCCGUUAUAUACAUUUAUACUGGAUAUUAGCUGGAGUCAUUUAGCUGUGCUGAUACUGUUUGCCGUGUGUUUUGCAUCAGUGCUUCGUGCCGUCAACUGUAUUGCGUGUUUUUGCCGACGACUUACUAGCACAAUGGCGGGAUCUGCAUUCGCCGCCUUCAUGUCUCGAUGCGUCUUUGUACGUCGCACGUUUGGGCAACACUUUUUCUGGUAAGUGAAAUACAUUGUACUUCGUUUUUCGUCAACAAUGUGAAUAUUUUUAGAUGUUACCCACGACAAUUCUUGAUGAGUAGGCUCUCUCGCCCUGCGUGUUUUCGUCACCUUUACUUUUAUACGAGGGUUCUGCUUGUGUUCAGCAGUUCAGCACUACCGCGCUCCACGACUUCCGCAACACCAGUCAGAACUUCGCCCUGCUUGUUACUCUUUGUGGUUAACGUAGCACGAACCAACCGAAGGGAGUGCAUUCGAAGAUGGCGCUGGUUGUAAUCCUGAACCAGACUGAACUCGCCCUAUUUUGUGUCCCUUUGUUCUUGCAUGGGUUACAGCGUUGCGAGCGCGCGCACAUGUGUCAGUGACUAUGCAGCGUGUAGCGUUCCCACUUUAUGGCAAAAGAAAAAUAUAACUGCAAUGUUUACUUCAUGUAUACGAUUCCAAAUGCAAUCGUCUGCUGAUGUACAAAUUUCACUUGUUUUGUUAUAAAUAAGCAGCAAAACUUUUAGCCUAGUAGGUGCUUCAUCUGGGAGUGCAAUCACGACUGCUUGGCAUUUAUUAAUGAAUCACUAUGACUGGGUCACCUCAUUUGUAAUUGCAAAUCUGUCUUUCUACCAACUUGAUGCUCUUUUGUUCCUUUCACUCCAUAAACGGCUGGACAUCCUUCUUGUACCUUGGCGCUAGCUGGAUGAUGGGACCUCAUCAUGAUCAGUGUAUUGCUUGUCUAUGUCUACAAGAACCUUCACGCGUAGCCUGUGACGGCAAGCUUUUGUGGGCAGCCAGUGCUCUCCUACGAAGGCUGGCCUGCUCUGGCAGCGGCGGCAAUCAUCUUCAAGAUUUAUCCAUGCUCACCUUUACCCGCCAUGGUUGCUCAGUGGCUAUGGUCUUAGGCUGCUGAGCACGAGGUCGUGAGAUCGAAUCCCAGCAACGGCGGCCAUAUUUCGAUGGGGGCGAAAUGCGAAAACACCCGUGUACUUAGAUUUGGGUGCACCUUAAAGAACCCCAGGUGGUCCAAGUUUCCGGAGUGCUCCACUACGGUGUGCCUCAUAAUCAGAAAGUGGUUUUGGCAUGUGAAACCCCAUAAUUUAAAAUGCUCACCUUUGCUGCUAUUUGUCACUCUUGCUAAUUACACUUUCUGCAUCUUUUCUAAUUUAUUAGGUAAUAAAGUAUGACUAUGUGA